UACGUAGGGUGCGAGCGUUAAUCGGAAUUACUGGGCGUAAAGGGUGUGCAGGCGGUUUACCAAGCUUGAUGUGAAAUCCCCGGGCUUAACCUGGGACGUGCAUUGGGAACUGGUAGACUAGAGUCUGUCAGAGGGGGGUGGAAUUCCACGUGUAGCAGUGAAAUGCGUAGAGAUGUGGAGGAACACCGAUGGCGAAGGCAGCCCCCUGGGAUAAGACUGACGCUCAGGCACGAAAGCGUGGGUAGCAAACAGG
rnacentral:rRNA from 1 species